rnacentral:ncRNA from 2 species
UUUUUAAAUCAGGGGUGCUUACAUUAGUAAGCUGAGAAUAUACCCUUUGAACUUGACCUGGCUAAUACCAGCGUAAGGAGGAAAUAUGGAACAGAUC